UACGAGGGGGGCAAGCGUUGUUCGGAAUUAUUGGGCGUAAAGGGCGCGUAGGCGGUGCGGUAAGUCACCUGUGAAACCUCUAGGCUCAACCUAGAGCCUGCAGGCGAAACUGCCGUGCUAGAGUACGGGAGAGGCGAGUGGAAUUACAGGUGUAGCGGUGAAAUGCGUAGAUAUCUGUAGGAACACCCGUGGCGAAGGCGGCUCGCUGGACCGUUACUGACGCUGAGGAACGAAAGCUAGGGGAGCAAACAGG
rnacentral:rRNA from 1 species